GCAACUGCUUAAGUCCAUAGUGAUGGUGCAAUGCCUGUGUCGUUCUCUGAAAAACAAGAGGCAAAUCGGUUUCUGCUUCCAAUUUGGCUCUUAUUGCAUUAUGGGCUGUAGUACUUCUAGUGGUGUAACUAUUGAGGAUCGAUCACCCAAGAAUCCACUCCAUGGCAAAGAAGCUUCAAAGCAGGCUGAAAAGGAUGCAACUCUUGAGACUAUUAAUAUAUCUUCAAGCGGGUCAAUAAAUGAAAUGUUUUUGUGGAAAAACAAUCCGGAACAAUUCACAUCAACUAAAGAAGGAAAAACUGAAGAAAAUUCAGACAAUGGAAUUGGACUUCCCAAGAAACCAGCAAGCUUAGUAGAAAAAGAAAGGAAAGCAUCAUCAGAUAUUCUGGAGGAGCUUCGGAUGCAAGGAAUAAUUAAGUCCUCAAGUACAACUUCAGCAAUUAGAACAGCAGAUGAUACCAUGUUGGUACAUACCAGAAGGCCACCAGCCAAACUGAAAAAGCUUGAAAUCGAAAGGAAGAAAGCACAUAUGUAA
rnacentral:lncRNA from 1 species